rnacentral:rRNA from 1 species
AGGACGAACGCUGGCGGCGUGCUUAACACAUGCAAGUCGAACGGUGACCCACCUUCGGGUGGCGAUCAGUGGCGAACGGGUGAGUAACACGUGGGCAACCUGCCUCUAGCUCUGGGAUAAGCCCGGGAAACCGGGUCUAAUACUGGAUAUGAGAUCGGAAGGCAUCUUCUGAUUUGUAAAGUUUUUCGGCUAGAGAUGGGCCCGCGGCCUAUCAGCUUGUUGGUGAGGUAACGGCCCACCAAGGCGACGACGGGUA